rnacentral:lncRNA from 1 species
CUUCCGGAGAGACGGAGAGCUCCUAGAAGCAGCGCCUCCCAGCAGAAGCAGAAUCUUGCCCUGGGGAGGAGUACAGCUCAGAACCCGCAGACUCGGGGUCAAAUCCCAGCUCUGUGACUUUCUUGAUGCGUGACCUUGGGAGGCAGCUUUGCUGCUCUGAGCCCCGUUUCCUCCCCGGAAAACCCAUAAUAAUAACUGUACCUCUUGCAGUGAGGAGACAAGGUGGAAUGGAACGCAGAGCCCACGUGUGCCUGGCACUUGAUGGAGUCUCGCUUGUCACCAGGCUGGAGUACAGUGGCGUGAUCUCAGCUCACUGCAACCUCCGCCUCCCAGGUUCAAGCGAUUCUCCUGCCUCAGCCUCCCAAGUAGCUUGGAUUACAGAUGUGUGCCACCACGCCCUGUUAAUUUUUUUUUGUUUGUUUUGUUUUGUUUUUUGUUUUUUGUUUUUGAGAUGG